rnacentral:rRNA from 1 species
CCCCUCGAGAGUGGCGAACGGGUGAGUAAUAUAUCGGAACGUGCCCAGUCGUGGGGGAUAACGUAGCGAAAGUUACGCUAAUACCGCAUACGAUCUACGGAUGAAAGCGGGGGACUCGCAAGAGCCUCGCGCGAUUGAAGCGGCCGAUAUCAGAUUAGGUAGUUGGUGGGGUAAAGGCUCACCAAGCCAACGAUCUGUAGCUGGUCUGAGAGGACGACCAGCCACACUGGAACUGAGACACGGUCCAGACUCCUACGGGAGGCAGCAGUGGGGAAUUUUGGACAAUGGACGCAAGUCUGAUCCAGCCAUUCCGCGUGCAGGAUGAAGGCCCUCGGGUUGUAAACUGCUUUUGUACGGAACGAAAAGGUCUCUAUUAAUACUAGGGGCUCAUGACGGUACCGUAAGAAUAAGCACCGGCUAACUACGUGCCAGCAGCCGCGGUAAUACGUAGGGUGCAAGCGUUAAUCGGAAUUACUGGGCGUAAAGCGUGCGCAGGCGGUUAUGUAAGACAGAGGUGAAAUCCCCGGGCUCAACCUGGGAACUGCCUUUGUGACUGCAUAGCUAGAGUACGGUAGAGGGGGAUGGAAUUCCGCGUGUAGCAGUGAAAUGCGUAGAUAUGCGGAGGAACACCGAUGGCGAAGGCAAUCCCCUGGACCUGUACUGACGCUCAUGCACGAAAGCGUGAGGAGCAAACAGGAUU